ACUCAAAGGAAUUGACGGGGGCCCGCACAAGCGGCGGAGCAUGUUGCUUAAUUCGACGCAACGCGAAGAACCUUACCAAGGUUUGACAUGCAGGGAAAAGCCUCAGAGAUGGGGUGUCCGUAAGGGCCCUGCACAGGUGGUGCAUGGCUGUCGUCAGCUCGUGUCGUGAGAUGUUGGGUUAAGUCCCGCAACGAGCGCAACCCUCGUUCUAUGUUGCCAGCGGAUAAUGCCGGGGACUCAUAGGAGACUGCCGGGGUCAACUCGGAGGAAGGUGGGGAUGACGUCAAGUCAUCAUGCCCCGUAUGUCUUGGGCUGCAAACAUGCUACAAUGGCCGGUACAGAGGGCUGCGAAACCGCAAGGUUGAGCGAAUCUCAAAAAGCCGGUCUCAGUUCGGAUUGGGGUCUGCAACUCGACCCCAUGAAGUCGGAGUCGCUAGUAAUCGCAGAUCAGCAACGCUGCGGUGAAUACGUUCCCGGGCCUUGCACACACCGCCCGU
rnacentral:rRNA from 1 species